rnacentral:rRNA from 1 species
AUUGAACGCUGGCGGCAGGCUUAACACGUGCAAGUCGAGCGGGGGAAGGUAGCUUGCUACCGGACCUAGCGGCGGACGGGUGAGUAAUGCUUAGGAAUCUGCCUAUUAGUGGGGGACAACAUCUCGAAAGGGAUGCUAAUACCGCAUACGUCCUACGGGAGAAAGCAGGGGAUCUUCGGACCUUGCGCUAAUAGAUGAGCCUAAGUCAGAUUAGCGAGUUGGUGGGGUAAAGGCCUACCAAGGCGACGAUCUGUAGCGGGUCCGAGAGGAUGAUCCGCCACACUGGGACUGAGACACGGCCCAGACUCCUACGGGAGGCAGCAGUGGGGAAUAUUGGACAAUGGGGGGAACCCUGAUCCAGCCAUGCCGCGUGUGUGAAGAAGGCCUUAUGGCUGUAAAGCACUUUAAGCGAGGAGGAGGCUACUUUAGUUAAUACCUAGAGAUAGUGGACGUUACUCGCAGAAUAAGCACCGGCUAACUCUGUGCCAGCCGCCGCGGUAA